GCCCAAGUUCAACAUUACCAAAAGUCCAAAUGUUUAUCGAGUAUUAUCCAACGGACCAACUCUCACAUCUAACCUAAAUUCCUAAAGUCUUCAACAACCCUAGCAGCCACCAACAAAUUGUGCGAUCUGCUUCACUUCACCAAUUUUUUUUUUACUUCAGUUCACCUUCGAACCCACGCAUCCCUUUGUUAGUUACUUUCAAAGUUUUUUUAGUCAGAUUCGCCAACAAGGAUGAGGUUUAUUAGCAUAUGUCAAGCAAAUCUCCAAUGGCGUCUUGUUGAACGACACUCACGACAGCUAUCUCAAACGACGUGUUUUUGAGUUUCAGAAAGAUGACGUUACUAUGAAAGGAAACAAUAAUAGUGGGGCCGACGAGGCAGAUGGGUUCUCGACUCUUCAUGUUGCGUCAACGUUUACACAGAAUGUUAUUGUGUACACUGAUGUACUCCAAGAUGUUCUUUCAGGUGCGUAUGAUACGCAACGGAUGGAUGACAUGCCCUCAUUCGACUUAGGGCUAUCUCAGCCUCUUCCAAGUACACAAGAGUUGGUGGCGAUGAGAGAAGAAACUGUGAAAAAUGUUGAUCCGGAAGCUGAUGUUGGUGGCAAAGGAAAAAGAAAAAACAAAUGUCGAAAUACGGGAAAUCUCCGUUUAUGUUACGAGCUGUGGACAUUAAGUCAUGGAUACAAUCUAAAGAUAAAAUAAUUUGGAGAUACCUGUCCGCUUGUGUAGAAGAAACUCAAGUUGCAACUCCGAAGAAGAAGGGCAGGAAGGUUGCGACAAAAGAGGGCAGGGAUCAAAAAGAAGUAGCCGAAGUUGCUGGUUCAAAAGGGUAAGCAACAGUUUGACUGGAUUUUAUUAUUCCCUAUUUAGUCGAUGCAUGAAAUAUAUAUUGGAGGUUAUAACCUUUAGGACAUACGUGUUCCUAACGGAGUCUGGCAUCGGGCUUAUGUACUUUCAAUUAAAAGAUUUUUACCCGAGCGUGUGGAUGGGAGACGCAGUUAUCAACUGCUUUGCGACGGUCCUAAAUUACGAAUAAGUUAACAGUAGAAAGCCGACCAAGGGGAAAAACAAAGAGGUUUACAAAAAAUUUGGUGAAACUCGCCAUCUUUUCUGCCACACGGUUUGUUUUAACGACGACGUCUUAACUAACACGAAGUACGAUGACAAGGGUCGGUUGGAGAAGUUCAGCAGUGCGUUGCUGAUGGUGCUGAAUAAGGAUGCUUCACUUUUGAAGCUGACAGGUUAUACGGUGAUUGUUUUCCCAAUACUGGAAAAUCAUCACUUUUAUCUGGUUAGUUUUGACAUGGAAAAGUUGGCAAUAAGUGUAAUUGACAACAUACAUGUUAGUGAGAGCUUCAUCAAGUUUUCGGGUAACACUGAUUUUUUAAAGAAGACGACACCGUUUAAAGUGAUGUUUUCAUAAAAUACUUGAGAUCCGUACGCCAUCCGAAAUGUUUGGAGUUUGAGCCAGUAAUACCGAAAAGGCUGGAGAUCGAAUGGGCGACGAUAGGAAAUAGUGUGGAUUGUGGAGUUUUGCUAUGCGUCACAUGGAGACCUGGUUCGGUGAAACCGACUUAAAAUGGGACAGGGGUUUCCUCUCGCGCAUACACAAAAAAAGUCUAGUCUAACAAGAUUAAGGAAAAAGAAUGCUUGCAAGAUUGUGUGUUCCGAUGCAAACAAGCGGCGUGACGAAGUCAUGGGUGCAGCCGUCGCAUGGAACUUGGCCGAAGGGUUUGAGGUUGAAAAGGGUUUGGAUGUUAGUGAUAAUUGAAGGAACUUAGUAGUGAAACUGAUUUUGAUUUACGGUUGUUUUGAAUUUUGGCUAUGCUGUUUGCGACAAUGUUGGUAAACCUUUUUUUUGUGUAUGUACAUGGUGUUUUUUUGGUUUGAUACAUUGUUAGGAGAAUGAUAAUGCAUAUAUACUUCAAAAAAGAAAAUAUACUUAACGGUUAUACACUGGUGUUUUGUUCAUAUAUUUUCUUUUUUGAAGUAUAUAUGCAUUGUCAAUCUCCUAACAAUGUAUUAAACCAAAAAAACACCAUGUACAUACACAAAAAAAGAUUUACCAACAUUGUCGCAAACAACAUAGCCAAAAUUCAAAACAAUUGUAAAUCAAAGUCAGUUUCACUACGAAGUUCCUUCAGUUAUCAUUAACAUCCAAACCCUUUUCAACCUCAAACCCUUCGGCCAAGUUCCAUGUGACGGCUGCACCCAUGACUUCAUCACGCUGCUUGUUUGCAUCAGAACACACAAUCUUGCAAGCAUACUUUUUCCUUAAUCUUGUUAGACUAGAUUUUUUUUCGUGUAUGCGCGAGAGGAAACCCACUGUCCCAUUUUAAGUCGGUUUCACCGAACCAGGUCUCCAUGUGAUGCAUAGCAAAAACUCCACAAUCCACACUAUUUCCUACUGUCUCCCAUUCGAUCUCCAGCCUUUUCGGUAUUACUGGCUCAAACUCCAAACAUUUCGGAUGGUGUACGGAUCUCAAGUAUUUUAUGAAAACAUCUUUCUGCGUUUAAAGCAAACAUAAACCAGGUUAGCAACGUUAUACACAAGCGUACGUUUACAGACUAAAUUCAUACUUACCACUUUAAACGGUGUCGUCCUCUUUAAAAAAUCAGUGUUAUCCGAAAACUCGAUAAAGCUCUCACUAGCAUGCAUGUUGUCAAUUACACUUAUUGCCAACUUUUCCAUGUCAAAACUAACCAGAUAAAAGUGAUGAUUUUCCAGUAUUGGGAAAACAAUCACCGUAUAACCUGUCAGCUUCAAAAGUGAAGCAUCCUUAUUCAGCACCAUUAGCAACGCACUGCUGAACUUCUCCAACCGACCCUUGUCAUCGUACUUCGUGUUAGUUAAGACGUCGUCGUUCUACAUAUUUAAAUUAACAAACAAUCAAUACCUGAAUUUUUUUUUUCGAAAACUAAUUAAAAAUGAUUUACAAAUAUAAGUAAAGUAAUCACUUACAAAACAAACCGUGUGGCAGAAAAGACGGCGAGUUUCACCAAUUUUUUUGUAAACCUCUUUGCUUUCCCCUUGGUCGGCUUUCUACCGUUAACUUCUUCAUAAUUUAGGACCGUCGUAAAGCAGUUGAUAACUGCGUCUCCCCUCCACACGCUUGGGUAAAAAUCUUUUAAUUGAAAGUACAUAAGCCCGAU